UACGUAGGGUGCAAGCGUUGUCCGGAUUUAUUGGGCGUAAAGAGCUCGUAGGCGGCUCGUUGCGUCGGCUGUGAAAACCCGCAGCUCAACUGUGGGCUUGCAGCUGAUACGGGCGGGCUGGAGUUCGGUAGGGGAGACUGGAAUUCCUGGUGUAGCGGUGAAAUGCGCAGAUAUCAGGAGGAACACCGGUGGCGAAGGCGGGUCUCUGGGCCGAUACUGACGCUGAGGAGCGAAAGCGUGGGGAGCGAACAGG
rnacentral:rRNA from 1 species